CUCCACCACCCGCCGGAAGGUUCCAAAGCACUCGGUAUUCCUCUUCCUCCGCCUUUGCUUCCUCCACUUCCAGCUUCACCUCUCGCUCCUCCACCUUCUUCAACCGCACCGUCUCCCCCCCGCGCCUCAACGUCGCCACCGCCUCUCCCUCCGCCCAGUCCGUACGUUUCUCCUUCGACCGCCCAACCUCCCCCAGCCGAUCCAUCUCCGUCUCACCACGCGGCACCGGCAGCCACCACCACCACCACACCGCCGUCCCCAGCGGCCGGAAUAUCAGUCAGCCGAAGCGAACCUGCAUGUGUUCCCCUACCACACACCCCGGCUCCUUCCGCUGCAGCCUCCACAAGAAC
rnacentral:lncRNA from 1 species